rnacentral:rRNA from 1 species
UACGUAGGGGGCAAGCGUUGUCCGGAAUCAUUGGGCGUAAAGCGCGCGUAGGCGGCUAGAUCAGUCUGCUGUAAAAGUCAAAGGCUCAACCUUUGAAAGCCGGUGGAUACUGUCUAGCUAGAGUCCGGAAGAGGCGAGUGGAAUUCCCGGUGUAGCGGUGAAAUGCGCAGAUAUCGGGAGGAACACCUAUGGCGAAGGCAGCUCGCUGGGACGUUACUGACGCUGAGACGCGAAAGCGUGGGGAGCAAACAGG